GAUCUAUUCCCUCCGUCCGAACAAACUUGUUCCUCAAAUGAAUGUAUCUAGCAUCAAGUUAGUGCUAGAUACAUCAGACAAGUUUGGGAUAAGUUUUUUCGGACGAAGGGAGUACCAA
rfam:Triticum aestivum genome assembly, contig: Triticum_aestivum_CS42_TGACv1_scaffold_063861_1DL